CUUUCGUCAUUAUCUAUAUUUGAUAUAUCUAAUACUUUUAGUAAAGAAGGUUAAUUUAUAUACUAAUACUAAUGCUUGCUAGAGCAUUGCAAGUGGACCAAUUAUUAUCUGAUUUGGUUAUUCACCGUAUUGGAGUGAUUGAUCAUUGACAACUAAUAUUAUUAGGAGAGAUCAAAAAGGGCAAACAAAAUUUUGCUUCUGCAACAAUUAUUAUCAGCAGUGUGGCAUUAUAGAAACAAGUUUCGACAAUUUUGGGCUGCUUGUUUCAUCAAUAGAAAAGUUAAAAAAAAAUUGAAGCAGAUUGUCUUGACAAUUAAAUACAAGGAAAGCUUACACAUUAUUUGCGUCAGUGUGGUGAAACAACUGUUUCUGAAUCGAAAAGAAAUAUAAUAAAGCGAUUGAUGAAAAAUAGCAUUACAGUUGCUUGUAAUUGGAAAAGAAAAAAUGGGAAAUAUACUUUUAGCAAUAGCAAGCUUUGCCAAAUUAUAAAUAGUGCACUUUUUUGGGUUAAACCAGGAAUCGGCAACCUUCGGCUUGCAAGCCGCAUCCAGUUUUUUAUUUAAACUGUGUGGCUCUUCAACCUGUCCGAGUUUUAUAUUUAAAUGAUAUUGAAUAUCAUUGAAUAAUAAUAAUUUUUAGAUUUUUUUAAAACAAUUUUAAGAAAAAUGGCCCUCAAAUUGAAACAGGUUGCCGACCCCUGUGUUAAAUAAUCAUUAUUUAUUCUUAUCAGGGAUGUUUCAUUUUCAGUUCCAUCAAUUUUUUGGGACCCCAUGGACUUCGAAUUAUGGAUUCCAUGGACUUCGAACUCUUCGAAUAAUUUUUUUUUCUUUAAUUAAAUAUGGGGUUUUUAUUAUCUGGAACUUUAACGUGAAAAUUCCAGAAAAAUGAGACGGUAACAAAAAUAUUUUCUCUUAUGAAUUAUAUAUAUGUUUUUUUUUAUGUAGCCUAAGAUAUAAUUUACUAUGUAUUACAUGAAAAUUCCAGAAAAAUGAGACAGUAACAAAAAUAUUUUCUCUUAUGAAUUAUAUAUAUGUUUUUUUUAUGUAGCCUAAGAAGUCCUUACGGUCUUUGCUGGAUAGUGAGAAUUAAUAAGAAAAAUAUAACUCCAAAGAUUUUGAUUUGAUUCGCAUUGUCGCGCACACAGAUUUCUCAGUUGCACUCAUUUUCUUAGACUAUUUGAAACCACAUAAUCAUAAAAUUAUAAAAAGAUUUAAUUUUUUACUUACAUUAAUUACACGCUAAAUUAUAAAGUUACAAGGACAAAAUAUUACAAAAGCAUAUCAUCAAUUAACUCAGAUGUAAAUCGACUACAAUGGUCUGGUGUCAUGUGCUUUAAGACUGAAAACAUAUGCUCGACACUGACUUGGCAUAUGGUUAGUGACAAACCGACAAGGCAGGCAUCCCAUUCAACUUCAGGGAACUGCUUAUUUGAUUUUAAUGGGUUAAGUUUUUAAAACUCGUCUAAGUUGGAAGAGUUGUCUUUAAACAUUGAACGAAUUUCCGAAAUUAUUUUUAGAGCUUGUCAAAGCUCCUUUUUGAUUACAUCUAGUUGAACCUGCAUUUGUUCUUCUGAAGAACUUUCUUGAAUCUCCUGUUGAUACAACAUAAAUAAAUUUGAUCAACACUUUGCGACUGGUGAAGCAUUCUCUUCAUUUUCUGAGCUAGAGUCUGACACAUAAACUGCAAAAGAGUUGCGCUCUACUACUUUUUUGGUUUUGUUGAGUUCAUUAUUCUUAUUUUUAUUAGCGAGUUGAAUCAGUUUGUAAUGUAUUUCCAAAGUCAUCAGCUGCAGUUAUUUAUAGAAGUAUUUAUAAC